rnacentral:rRNA from 1 species
GGAUGAAUAUUGCACAAUGGGCGAAAGCCUGAUGCAGCGACGCCGCGUGGACGAUGAAGGUUUUCGGAUCGUAAAGUCCUUUUCUGUGUGACGAGCAAGGACGGUAGCACAGGAAUAAGUGUCGGCUAACUACGUGCCAGCAGCCGCGGUAAUACGUAGGACGCAAGCGUUAUCCGGAAUUACUGGGCGUAAAGAGCGUGUAGGCGGUUGCGUAAGUCAUCCGUGAAAGCUCCCGGCUAAACUGGGAGAG